AGAUUGAACGCUAGCGGGAUGCUUUACACAUGCAAGUCGAACGGCAGCGCGGACUUCGGUCUGGCGGCGAGUGGCGAACGGGUGAGUAAUAUAUCGGAACGUGCCCAGUAGCGGGGGAUAACUACGCGAAAGCGUGGCUAAUACCGCAUACGCCCGUACGGGGGGAAAGGGGGGAUCGCAAGACCUCUCACUAUUGGAGCGGCCGAUAUCAGAUUAGCUAGUUGGUGAGGUAAAGGCUCACCAAGGCGACGAUCUGUAGCUGGCUUGAGAGGACGACCAGCCACACGUGGGACUGAGACCACGGCCCAG
rnacentral:rRNA from 1 species